rnacentral:miRNA from 6 species
UGCCUACUGAACUGGUAUCAGU